CAUGCAUCUCUCGUCUGAGUCUUCCAUCAACUGAAAUCCGUCCCUCUCUAUAGUGCAGCAUAUUGAGCAAAAGGGGUCUGAGGUCCACAAGAGGGGAGCCAAUUUUCAGCAACAGUCCAUCCGAUUUUUAAUCAAGAUUGUGUUCAAGAGAGGCUGCUGCCUGCAAUGGGAGGAGCUGGAUCAUCAUGGAUUCAACUGGCAGCAGCUUGAAAUAAACAUGUUGUGGAGGACAGACGCCUGUGUCCCAGUACGAAUGGGGAAGGACAGCCUGACGUGGGUGGGCCCUGACCUUGGCCAGGUUCCCAUCAUCAGAACAUGAAGCAUCAGGCAGCUCCAGCCCCUUGGUCACUUGGUCCUGCUGGAGUUGUAGCCCUCGUCUCGGUUCGUCAGAUGAACCCGGCAAGCUUUCUCUGUCUCUGCCUCAGCAUGGCCCCCAGCAUUAUGUCAGAGAGGAACCAGUGAAAAUUAACACCUAAUUAUAGGCUCCACUCUGUGAAGAAUGGUGCUGGUGCCCAUGGAGUGUGUCACCAUGCGGGGGCUGCAUGGUUGACUCACAGUGGGACUCAGGUCUGAAAACAAGGCAGAGGACACAAGAGGAACACACAGGCACACAGGUCAUAGAGUGAAUCCACAUACAGGCAGAUCCAUGGAACUGAUCCGCCUGCCUUCCUCGCCUUCUUGGUUGGUUUGUGCC